AGUGAACGCUGGCGGUAGGCCUAACACAUGCAAGUCGAACGGCAGCACAGUAAGAGCUUGCUCUUACGGGUGGCGAGUGGCGGACGGGUGAGGAAUACAUCGGAAUCUACUUUUUCGUGGGGGAUAACGUAGGGAAACUUACGCUAAUACCGCAUACGACCUACGGGUGAAAGCAGGGGAUCUUCGGACCUUGCGCGAUUGAAUGAGCCGAUGUCGGAUUAGCUAGUUGGCGGGGUAAAGGCCCACCAAGGCGACGAUCCGUAGUUGGUCUGAGAGGAUGAUCAGCCACACUGGAACUGAGGCACGGUCCGGACUCCUACGGGAGGCAGCAGUGGGGAAUAUUGGACAAUGGGCGCAAGCCUGAUCCAGCCAUACCGCGUGGGUGAAGAAGGCCUUCGGGUUGUAAAGCCCUUUUGUUGGGAAAGAAAAGCAGCAGGUUAAUACCCCGCUGUUCUGACGGUACCCAAAGAAUAAGCACCGGCUAACUUCGUG
rnacentral:rRNA from 1 species